GCCUGGCUGGCUCAGCCGGUAGAGCAGGUGACUCUUGAUCUCUGGGUCGGGAGUUCAGGCUCCAUGUUGGGUG
rnacentral:tRNA from 1 species